rnacentral:rRNA from 1 species
UAAGGAAUAUUGGUCAAUGGACGAAAGCCUGACCCAGCAACGCCGCGUGAGGGAUGAAGUAUUUCGGUAUGUAAACCUCGAAAGAAUGGGAAGAAUAAAUGACGGUACCAUUUAUAAGCUCCGGCUAACUACGUGCCAGCAGCCGCGGUAAUACGUAGGGAGCAAGCGUUGUUCGGAUUUACUGGGCGUAAAGGGCGCGUAGGCGGCGCGGUAAGUCACUUGUGAAAUCUCUGAGCUUAACUCAGAACGGCCAAGUGAUACUGCUGUGCUAGAGUGCGGAAGAGGCAACCGGAAUUCUUGGUGUAGCGGUGAAAUGCGUAGAUAUCAAGAGGAACACCUGAGGCGAAGGCGGGUUGCUGGGCCGACACUGACGCUGAUGCGCGAAAGCCAGGGGAGCAAACG